UACAGAGGGUGCAAGCGUUGUUCGGAAUUAUUGGGCGUAAAGCGCGUGUAGGCGGCUUUGCAAGUCGGGUGUGAAAGCCCUCAGCUUAACUGAGGAAGUGCGCCCGAAACUGCAGAGCUUGAAUACCGGAGAGGGUGGCGGAAUUCCCCAAGUAGAGGUGAAAUUCGUAGAUAUGGGGAGGAACACCGGUGGCGAAGGCGGCCACCUGGACGGUUAUUGACGCUGAGACGCGAAAGCGUGGGGAGCAAACAGG
rnacentral:rRNA from 1 species